rnacentral:rRNA from 1 species
AAAUGGACGUCUAUGUACGAAAUAUCGCAACGAGUUUAAAAUUUACUGAGAAUUGCGAUUUUCCAAACGGAAAACCUAAUUUUGAUAUAAAUCUGUUCUUAAUUUUAAAACAAAUUAAAACAAAAAUAAAUUUAGCAAAUUGAAACAUCUUAGUAGCUAAACCAAAAAUCAACCGAGAUACUGUUAGUAGUGGCGAACGAAUUCAGUAAAAAGCUUAUUCUUUUUAAACGUUAUUUAAUAAUAGCCAAAGAAGGAAACCUAUUUAAAGGUAGCCCUGUAAAAUAACAUUUAAAAAGUCUUGAUACAAAGUAAAAUGACACAAGUCGUGUGUUUUUUGAAUUAUAUGGGACCACCCAUAAAAGCUAAAACUUUUGAUAAUUGAUAGUGAAAACAGUACCGUGAGGGAAUGGUGAAAAAGUAUUUGCGAAUGUGAAAAAGUUUUGAAAUUUAAUGCUAAAUAUCAGUUGAGGCUUUUAAAUUUGAUUUUAAGAGUAACAGCAUACCUUUUGUAUAAGGGAUCAACAAGUUUAUUUUAGUAGCGAGCUUAAUUAAAAAAUAAAGUAGGCAAAAAGAAAUUGAGUUUUAAAAAUUGCUUUUUUAGUUUCUGAAAUAAAACCCGAAACUGUAGUGAUCUAACCAUGAACUGGUUGAAUUUUAAGCGGAAACGCUUUCUGGAGGACCGAACCCGUAUAUGUUGAAAAAUAUUGGGAUGAUUUGUGGUUAGGGGUGAAAGGCUAAUCAAACACAGAGAUAGCUGGUUUUCUGCGAAAUCUAUUUAAGUAGUUCGUUUAAAUUCUUUAUUUUAGGGUAGAGCUCUUUUUAAAUAAUGGGGAUGUAAAGUCUUACUGAAUUUAUUAAAACUUCGAAUUUUAAAAUAAAAGAUAUUUAAGCAGACAGACAUUGGGUGCUAAGGUCCAUUGUCAAAAGGGAAACAGCCCAGAUUAUUAAUUAAGGCCCUUAAAAACAAUUAAGUGAAAAAAUUAUUAAAAAAUUAUAACAACCGAUAGGUAGGCUUGGAAGCAGCCAUCCUUUAAAGAAAGCGUAACAGCUCAUUGGUUUAAUUUUUUUGUAAUAAAAAUGUACAGGGACUCAAAUUGUUUGCCGAAAUAAUAAAUUUAAAAUUCUAAAUGGUAGCAGAACGUCUUGU